rnacentral:pre_miRNA from 1 species
AAAAUGGUAAACUAUAGGUUUACGUGCCCAACUUCGUCUUAUAUGAAAUUUUUUUUAUAAUUCGUAUUUUCAUUGUUGUUAGAUGAUAAAACAUGAUUAAUAUUUUAUGCGCGACUUGUCUUUUUAAUUUUUUUCAUAAUUUUUUCAAAUAAGACGAACGGUCAAACGUUGGUCACGGAAACCAGGGUUUGUCUUUUU